ensembl:lncRNA
AUAAAACUCAGGUUUCUUGGAUUGCAGGUGGAUUCUUUACCAGCUGAGCUACCAGGGAAGCCCAGAAUUGCUCAUCAGGCUUGUGUGGGUUUUUUACUAGCCCUUUUCAUCCUGUUCCAGCAGCUGUUCUUAUGUUGAUCAGAAGUGUCUCACCUCCAAGUCUGAUCACCAAAUCCUCCUCUUCCUGUCUCACUGUAAUCAUUCCAUAUAUACUUUUCUGAGCAUGACUAGUUCAGGAUCCCUAUGAUUUUUACUAAUUCAGUCCUAAAAUAGUAAGCCCUUUGAGAAGCAGAACAGGCAUCCAGCCUUGCAGUUCUUUAUCUGGGAUCCAAGUACCCUUCCUUCCUAUCUUCCAGUCUCUUUAGUAUGGCUAAUCCAGGAUCCAGAUGUAGUUGGCUAACUCCAGGCUGCUUUUCCCUGUUUUGAAGCUGUGACAUUCUCUGCAUACCUGGAAGCUCUUAAUGAGGGAGUCUAUAAAAGAUAGGGAGAAAGCCAGCUUCCUCCGCUGUAAAUCUGCACCUUUUUAUGGUUCUCUAGGAUCAUUCUGUUUUUCUCCACCAUCACUAUAAACUGCCCUUCCCCCCACCCCAAAUCCUGGGAAUUUACUUCUGAAGAUACAAGGCUAGAAACUUCUGUGGGGGCGAGGGCUAUUAUAAGGAAGGAAGAUGGGGAUAACAGCACUUCUUGGUGUUGAGUCCUGUUGCCAUGUCUGACAUGAGAAACAGAUCAGGUGGAAGGAAAGACCUAAAAUAAGAAUAUAAGAAUUAUUCUGUAAUAAAUGUUUUUCCCUGUUCUCUUUCAUGAGGACCCCCUGACAGUAUCACUCAUCUCUGAUUAUUGGACGCCACCAAAAUCUAAUGUCCCCCUCUUGCAACAUGUCAACACACUCUUCUUAUAUUUCCUUCCAAAGGGACUGAAAAAUACCAAGUUUUGCGAUUUUGGACUUCGAUUGAGCCUAAAGUACUUCCAGCUUUCUCUUUAUUUAUUUUCCUUUCUCAGUUACCCCUGCCUUUUUCUAUCUCUCAUAUCACUGUUAAUAGAAUGAAAUAUUGUAUAGCAACUACUUCAGUAUAAUUCCUUGUUCUGCCACACUAGCUCAACUGGCUCCAAGACCCUGGGCAAAUUAUUUAAUCAUCCUUGACUCUUCAAUUCUGUGCCAAUAGCAACCUUAUUGUGAAGGUUGCUGUGAGAACUGAUACUGUCAUAUUUAUGUAAGGAGCAUAGUUUGCUUAUCAUAUAUUGUAAUCAUUCAGUAAUUAUUAGCUCUUAAUUUUACUUGGUGAUUUAUAGUAGAACUUUCUUUUUCCUGAAUAAGUUACAGCUAGAGGGUAGGGGGCUGAGUGUACUAGUUUGAGAGAAUGUAUGUGUGUGCAUACCACAUACGCAAAUGCUUUGGGGGAUUCUGAGAGAGAGAAUAGGUGGGAGUCGUCCCAGUUGUUCCCUUACACCCAGCUCACUGACAGGAAAGCCGGCUUUGUGGCUGGGGCAUUGACUUCCCAGCUUCUCCUCCACCAUACACCAGAAGCUGUAAAUGCCCCUGUCUGCUGGUUUUUAGCUUGGGGCCCCUGAUGUGGGCAGAGACAAGGUAUAGGGUAGCUACUCGUCCGUUCGGUUGCAGAUGUUUGAGGGUGAACAUCGUCUUGUAACUUGGUGUUCUCUCAAGGUAGGUGUGGAGAGAGCAGCUCCUGGUGGGGAGGACAGCCUGUAGCACUUCAGUCCUCCCUGAGCUUGGUAGUUGGUCCGAGGUGGGGUCAGUCUGCCGAACUGCCAGGGCAGGGAAAGCACAGUGGCACACUGAACCCAUAUUGUCCCCCAUUCUGGGUCAGAUUGAUGUCACAGGAACUUUCCUACUUGCAGUUACAGGCAGGAUUCUUUUACUGCUCCCCCCACUCCCACCAAUUUGUAUGCCCUGGGAAGUGUGCUCCAGCGACACGGGAGACAUUUUUAUAGUAGAAUGAAAGUAUUUAAGAUGCUUAACCAUUCUUGGAACACCAGAAGUUCAAAGUUGGGUUGGUUUUGUGGAUUUUGUUGAAAUUUUGUUGCGAAAACCUAGGGUCAGGGGAACUGCAGGAAAAUAGGAUAGAUAUUAUCUGAAUCAUAUCUCAAGAGGACUUAGAUCUUCUGCUCUGUGGAGGCUGGGAGAGGGUCUUGUAAUCUUUGGGACUGUUCAGGAUCAAGCCUCCAGUGAAGAGUUGGUUUAGAUUCCCUUUCUUGCCCAUCCUCUGCCCAACCUUCCUUGGCUGCAAGCCCCAGCUCUCAUCCCAAAGACCCCCAUCUUCUUACUCCUUAAGCACAAAGUUUCAUUCUCCCUCAGAUCCUCGGCUUCCUGGUCUCCGAGGUGUAAACAUGGCGCUUGAUGAGGGAGAAGAGCUUAACGCUGAAUUCUAAAUUCUUUGACUGCUUUUAUUUUUCUUUUUUCAGGUUCAAGUGCUGGAUUGUGUCAUGUGACCAUCCCAAAACUCAGAGCACCCUAUGGCCAUCUUUGCCCUCUGUCACAUAACUUGAAAACUGCCUGAUGGCCUUUUUGCAAUAGUUCCCUUCAGGAAGCCUUGAUCUCAGUGAAGAGGUCCUUUCCCGGCAUUCCAGUGCCCCUGUCAGCCCCAUACUCCUCAGACACCCUUAACAAACAAAGGCAAUCACACACACGGUGUAACAAAUACACAAAGUAAAUAAUAAUUACACUAAUUAUGAUCAGAGGGGCACUGGCCAGGUCCACACACAUCAUAAGGUGAGAGGGGUUACUAGUUCCCACUAGUUUGCUGGGCUAUGCCUCCAAGCCUCUUUACCCCAUGCCUCUUUGGGGGUGAGGAAGACCAGGGGAAUGAGACUUCAACUCAUAGGUUUAUGUUCAUAAGAGAACGACCUUCCCCCAAAGGUCUUUAUUUGGUGGCAUUAAAGGGGCAUAUUCUAAGUGUCUCCAAGUCUACUGCCCCAGCUGUCUAGAAUUUGUAGAGGGAAGUCACCUGAUGCCUAUUGCCCAAUCCCCACCCUGUGCCAAGAUCGAGAGACAUGGGCAUUUGACCUUGGAGGAGGCAUCUUCUGUUCUUCACUUCUCUGUUCCUCUCUUCCCACCAAGGAAAUGUGAAUGGUGUUGGUGGUCAGGUGCAUCUUGUUCUCCAAGAUUGGAGCAAAAGGAGUGAUGAAGAACAGGGCCAGAGAGGAGAGACUGGGGGUCAGUACUGCUGCUGCACGGGAGGAGGCAAGUCGAAAUGAGCCCUUGCCCUUUCCUGUACCAAAAUACCUCAUCUCACUUUUUCACUAUGGGAAUGGGAAUAAGAUGCCAAAAUUCACCACCAUCACCUUUCCAAGGGUGGUUACAUACCUUUGCCCCUUCCAUCAGCUGGGCCAGGCAGGAAAGUCAUGUUCUUGGGAAGAACAAGCCUUCCGGGUCAGCUUUCCAGCUCAGGUUUUACUUGUGUUCCGUAUUGUUUGCGUCAGACCCAUGACUGCUGGCUCUACUCAGAGUGCGUUUUGCUGAAGGUUCUUUCCCCCUCCACUCCUGACAUCCUCUAGGCUCCUGCCUGGAGCCAAGAGGUCUGGAGGUGAGGUAUGGAUAGGGUAUGGAUCAGAAGAUUCUCAGCUCC